UACGUAGGGGUGCAAGCGUUGUCCGGAAUUAUUGGGCGUAAAGAGCUUGUAGGCGGUUUGUCGCGUCUGCUGUGAAAUUUCGGGGCUCAACCCCGAACUUGCAGUGGGUACGGGCAGACUAGAGUGUGGUAGGGGAGACUGGAAUUCCUGGUGUAGCGGUGAAAUGCGCAGAUAUCAGGAGGAACACCGAUGGCGAAGGCAGGUCUCUGGGCCAUAACUGACGCUGAGAAGCGAAAGCAUGGGGAGCGAACAGG
rnacentral:rRNA from 1 species